rnacentral:rRNA from 1 species
CUGCUGCCUCCCGUAGGAGUCUGGUCCGUGUCUCAGUACCAGUGUGGGGGACCUUCCUCUCAGAACCCCUAGACAUCGUCGCCUUGGUGGGCCGUUGCCCCGCCAACUAGCUAAUGUCACGCAUGCCCAUCCGUUGCCGGAAUCGCUCCCUUUGGCCGCAGGGCCAUGCAGCCCCGCGGCGUUACGCGGUAUUAGACGGGAUUUCUCCCGAUUAUCCCCCCUGCAACGGGCAGGUCGCAUACGCGUUACUCACCCGUGCGCCGG